rnacentral:rRNA from 1 species
UACGUAGGGUGCAAGCGUUGUCCGGAAUUAUUGGGCGUAAAGAGCUCGUAGGCGGUCUGUCGCGUCUGCUGUGAAAUCCCGAGGCUCAACCUCGGGUCUGCAGUGGGUACGGGCAGACUAGAGUCAGGUAGGGGAGAACGGAAUUCCUGGUGUAGCGGUGAAAUGCGCAGAUAUCAGGAGGAACACCGGUGGCGAAGGCGGUUCUCUGGGCCUGUACUGACGCUGAGGAACGAAGGCGUGGGGAGCGAACAGG